rnacentral:rRNA from 1 species
AUUGAACGCUGGCGGCAGGCCUAACACAUGCAAGUCGAACGGUAACAGGAAGCAGCUUGCUGCUUCGCUGACGAGUGGCGGACGGGUGGGUAAUGUCUGGGAAACUGCCUGAUGGAGGGGGAUAACUACUGGAAACGGUAGCUAAUACCGCAUAACGUCGCAAGACCAAAGAGGGGGACCUUAGGGCCUCUUGCCAUCGGAUGUGCCCAGGUGGGAUUAGCUAGUAGGUGGGGUAACGGCUCACCUAGGCGACGAUCCCUAGCUGGUCUGAGAGGAUGACCAGCCACACUGGAACUGAGACACGGUCCAGACUCCUACGGGAGGCAGCAGUGGGGAAUAUUGCACAAUGGGCGCAAGCCUGAUGCAGCCAUGCCGCGUGUAUGAAGAAGGCCUUCGGGUUGUAAAGUACUUUCAGCGGGGAGGAAGGGAGUAAAGUUAAUACCUUUGCUCAUUGACGUUACCCGCAGAAGAAGCACCGGCUAACUCCGUG